UUGUAUCAAAUUUUAAAAUAAAUAGGGAAAAAGACAUAACACUGCUAAUUCUUCUCAUGUCUUUUCAGGCUCUUUUCCUUUAACAAUAUGAAGAGGGAUUGACCCUUUCUGUAUUCCUUCUUGAACCUGGAAGUUGGAAGCACCCACAAGCAACUUGAUCUGAGUCCCCAAUCCCAGAGAUUGGAUUAGAAUUAAAGUUAUAUUGUUCUCACCUACUCUGCCCCUCCCUUCAUGUAAGAGUGAACAUUCAUUUCCCUUAAUAAGGAAUUCUAUGACAAAAGAAAUGUUUCCAUCACGUUUUCAAAAUUCUGUCAGCUCCAGGAAGUACUUCCUGGUGUAUAGGUAGCAUCUGCAUCCUUUGUAAUUCCAAGGGUAAGUGAAUAUGGUGUGAUUUUGUACUAUGCUUUCUAGAGCCCCCAAAUUGGGAUGCCAAAAUAUACCAUGCUUUCUAGAGGCCCCAAAUUGGGAUGCCAAAAUGUACCAUCUGGAUAGCUCUCUGGUGGAUCUUGGAAUCAGCCCCAGUUCUUGUUCUUAGUGGAGAAGUGAAGAAGCAAGGGAACCAAGAGGCUGGUCA